GACGAACGCUGGCGGCGUGCUUAACACAUGCAAGUCGAACGGAAAGGCCUCUUUCGGGGGGUACUCGAGUGGCGAACGGGUGAGUAACACGUGAGUAACCUGCCCUUUACUUUGGGAUAACUUCAGAAAACUGGGGCUAAUACCGGAUAGAAGCUCCUGCUGCAUGGUGGGGGUUUGAAAGUUUCGGCGGUUGGGGAUGGACUCGCGGCUUAUCAGCUUGUUGGGGGGGUAGUGGCUUACCAAGGCUUUGACGGGUAGCCGGCCUGGGAGGGUGACCGGCCACAUUGGGACUGAGAGACGGCCCAGACUCCUACGGGGGGCAGCAGGGGGGAAUAUUGCACAAUGGGUGGAAGCCUGAUGCAGCAACGCCGGGGGCGGGAAGACGGCCUUCGGGUUGGAAACCGCUUUCGCUCAUGACGAAGCUUUGUGUGACGGUAGUGGGUAAAGAAGCACCGGCUAACUACGUG
rnacentral:rRNA from 1 species